rnacentral:lncRNA from 1 species
GGAGGUGAUGUCAUCCUUGGGUUGGAACGGCAUCAUUUUAGAGUCUGACGGAACCUCAAAGAUCAUGUUGCUGAGUUCCCGUCUUGCGUGGUCCUCCCUUCCAGAAAUUCCUAGAAGUUGGCUGGUUCGCCUUGGCCUGAUUCUUAGAAAGGUCUUCCAUACGUUCAGCUGACAUUGAACUCACAGAAAUGUCUUCCAUUAACCCCGACUCAGCCAUUUACAGCAGCGCGAGACUCGUCUUCUCCCUCUUCCCCAGGAGGGCAACUGUGUUUUUGAUGCCAGUUGUGCUUUUCUUUUUUUCUUUUUUUCUUUUUUUCAAUUUUAUUUUCCCACUGUACAGCAAGGGGAUCAAGUUAUCCUUACAUGUAUACAUUACAUUUUUUUUUCCCCACCCUUCGUUCUGUUGCAGCAUGAGUAUCUAGACAUAGUUCUCAGCAGGUGCUUUUCUUGAUACAGUCAAAGGUCUCCACUUUUAAAAAAGAGCCUCUGGGUUUUGUUUAUAUCAUUCGGAUGUUGUUCUUGCUUAGAGAGGCCUCACCCACUCUGAGGUUAUUUUUUGAAAGUUUUCCUCAUAUUUUCUUCUCAUACUGUAAUAGAUUUGCUUUUAUGUUUAACUCUUCGAUCCUUCGGGAAUUCAUUUUGCUGUAAGACGUGCGGGUGGAGGUACACUUUCAUUUUUUUUCCCGGUUAGCUACCCGAUUAUUCCAACACCAUUUAUUAAAUUAUUCAUUUUCUCCCACUGAUGUGAAAUGCCAUUAUAUUAAAUGCAUGAUUUACUUCCGGACUUAUUCCCAGGAUCUUUCAUAGGUUUUGCUGCCAGGCAAACUGUCACACAUCUUAUAUACAUUCAUUAUUGAAAUUUUUAGCUUAAGUGUAAAAUUUUUCCUACACUUAUUAUAGUUCAGCGUGCGACCUGUCCUCCGGCCUGUCAAGAUGGCCUGGUUCUUUCUUUUUGCACCAGCAGCCUCUUGUUUUAUUCCACCUGCAGAUUAACAAGCAUCUCUUUCAUGUCGUUAUUCAGGCCAGGGGUUAAGAGAGAGCGACAAAACUGCUGGUCAGUGUAGGGCUGUCCUUUGAGCUCAGUGGGCAGCCGCUGCUCACGUUCCUGUAUCAUGUUGUGUUACAAAGAGCUUAGCAUUUUCUGUGCACAAGAAAUAACCUGAGAGGAUUUCCCGUCAUGGCUUAGCGGUAAUGAAGCUGACUAGCAUCCAUGAGGACGUGGGUUUGAUCCCUGGCCUCACUCAGUGGGUUGAGGAUCCCGCGUUGCUGUGGCUGUGGCGUAGGCCAGCAGCUGUAGCUCCGAUUGGACCCUAGCCUGGGAACCUCCAUGUGCCACGGGUGCGGCCCUAAAAAAAAUUAAUGAAAGAGUAACUUGAGAAUCUUGUUAACCUGCAGAUUCUGAUUCAGUGGUCCUGGAGUUAGGCCACGAUUCUGUAUUUCUAAAAAGGCUCCAGACUGUGCUGGUGCUGCUGGUCCAUGGACUCACCCAAUACAAGCCCAAGACCAGGAUGAGUCCAGCGAGAUGCCCUGAAUGUGACAUUUAAGGAGGCACAUACAGUCAGGUUUGCUCAGGUGGCAGUCUUGCAUUUGCUUGCACCUGAGGGUAAGUACUUCCCUAAAUGUGCCCUGGGUGCCUUCUAAUCCCAGCCCCGAUGUCACGUUUCUUAGAAUUGCUAGAAUCACUCCUGAUGAACCUAAUAGGACUCCUGGGUGGUGAGACCUUACUAUCUUCCUUUUAAAACAAAUUCCCCUGGUGAUUCUCAGGCCUGCCAAAGCUUGAGAAGCACUGACGACAAAAUUUAGAAGUUCUGACUUUGAGGACUAGUUUCUUAAGUAAGUCCUGUUGAGACAUUAAUGCUGACGACCUGAGAACAUCCCCGUACCCUUUGCCUUCAGUGCGUGUGGUGUGCUAAACCCCGACACUGGCGAUGGUUGCUUAGGUAGCGUCAAGCCACAGAUGAAGGAAAGCCUCCUCGUAUCUGACAAAGCAGCCUCCACCCUGUUCUAAUGAACUGUAACAUGGAGUUCAUUCAGAGUCUAGCUCUUGUAUGUAAUUAAAGCUUACUCGAGGAGUUCCCGUUGCGGCUCCUUGGGCUAAGACCCCGACAUUGUUUCCGUGAGGAUGGAGGGUUGAUCCCUGGCCUCGCUCCGUGGGUUAAGGAUCUGGUGUUGCCACAAGCUUCAGCAUAGGCCUCAGCUGCAGCUCCAAUUCGACCCCUGGACUGGGAACUUCCAUAUGCUGCAGGUGG